AUAAACAUUUUAAUCGUUUUAGCUUUCGACUAAGAUUCAGUCGUCAUCAGGAAUUAAUUCCUGAUGAUGACUGAAUCUUAGUCGAAAGCUAGAAUGAUUAAAAUGUUUA
rnacentral:miRNA from 1 species